ensembl:lncRNA
CUGAUUUUACAUAAGUCUUUAUUCGUGUGCAUACAUUUUAGAAGGACUCGCAUUUUAGGAUUGUUCUCAGUUUUAUUUCUCAUAAUGGGUAUUGAAAGCUACAGAGCCUUAGAUAUUCUUACUUCAUUGUUUAGAACGGACUUAAAGAAAAACCCCGAAUAUUGAACAACAAAGGUCUCUGCCUUAACGUUAUGAUUUUGAGUCUCUGGGAGGACUCAUGAGGAUUGUUUGACUAUUUUGUAAAAAAUAGCUUAAUUGAUUAGAUAUAUUCCUCCUUUCCAAUUAAAAAUUACAAAAAAAAGGGUGUUUGUGACUCUGAGCCAAGUUCAUUGAUAUAUCGAGCAUAGCUAAUGUCAGUCAUUAUUAAGGUCCUGAUUGUGCUGUGUGUUUCCUCACAAAUACAAUUAUAGCAAGUCAAUUUGCAUUGGUAAAUGAAUGCUAAAAAUAUCUAAAUAUUUUUUCCUGCUGACCAGAGAGUAGUUGAUCCAGUCAUUAGGAUGCAGAUAAACAGAAGUUACUACUCUGAUAGAAGCUAAGGUGUUUAAGCACAAUGCGCAUAAGGAAUUAGUUAUUUGGCUACUGAUAUGCAACUACUAGUAUGCUCUCCAGAAGAAUUGAAAAGCUGUUCUAAAAUCACACCAAUCUAUCAUGGAGGUUUUUGCGUGGCAUUGGAAAGAUUUAUAAAAGCUUUACCAUUAUUCCUCAUUCAAAAUUUACUGCAGGGCCUGUUGGCAGCAUGUGCAAAGGGACUGAACUGCAACUGCUGUGUAGGAAAAAGUAAUUCCUGCUUUUCCAAGCACGGCUGAUGACUUUGGCUCCAGCAGCUGCUGUAAGUUGUUGUUCCUUUUCCUGCACCAGAAGGCAGAGUCCAUUCAGCACAGCACUGCAGGGAAGUGACUCUUGCAUUCACUCGCUUCUUGUUUCGAUCCUGCAUAGGUGAACACAGAUGAAAUCUGGGCCAUUAUAAAAAUAAGGAGGAUUAUUUGCAGAACAGUGGUUUGUUCCAGGUCUGAUCUUGAGGGAGGUGUUAGAGCAGUGGAAGGUCAAGAAGAUACCUGUUUUUUUUUAAUUAAAGGCACUUUGAAUAUCUCCUUGCUUUCCAGCUCCCACAAAAACUGUAAACGUACCUGUCCAAACCCUUUAAGCUGCUCCUAUGUUGGCAGGCACCUUUUUCACAGCAAAAGUAUUGGCAUAGCUACCCAACUGGAAAACAGAAAAAUGACGUGGAUUUUAUUCAGCCAACCACAGUUCCUCAGUACAUCCCAAUGCGCCAAUAUUUGUGUUUAGUUUAAACUGUCAGAAAUCACUUUGAAAUUGUGAUCACAGAUUUCUGUGAGCAGAAACUUCUAAAACAUCUGAAAGAAUGGAAUGUAAGGGUGGAUUGGUGCCUAGCACUUCCUCUAUUAUGUACUUUGAUGUCAUUUUGAAUAGUGUGUGAAGAUCUAUUACCAAUCCUCCCACCCAUCGACCCCCACCCCAAAUCUACAGGAAAAACCUCUGGAAAUAUUUCAUUAAUCAUUUUUGUCAAGACCACAGAUGAAAGGAGACAUUUGUAUUUUAUGACAGUUGGUAAUUAAACAUUUACAGUACAGUGCCAAUAUUUAAUACCAAUGUAGAAGGAGCAAACUGAACAGAAGGUAAAUCUGGCAGAGUUAAACAUAGAGUGAUGCAGUGGGAGUGUGCAUAUGUGAUCAGAACUGUAACACCGCAGAGCAAGUGGCAUUGCAAUAAAAUGUUGUAGCAGCAAACUGCUUUUCCAGCUGUGUUAGACUUCCUUCCCUCUUCCCUGGAACUGAAAUGAGAAAGAAUAUUUUACCCCUGAAAUGACUUGGAGAAACCAGAUGAGGCUUUGGGAGUUAAGACCACUGGCUGUUUGUGCAAGGCAAUAAGGCUGUAUAGGAUAAAUGAGUCCCAAGGAGUUUCUUUUGGUUUUAUGACUGCUCCGCUUUGUUUUCCCUCUCCAUCUCACUGAGUAUUUUGUAAAAACCUUCUACAUCUUAUUUAGGUUGCCUUCCCUCCUUUCACUUCUGCUAGAAAGCAAGGCAGUAUUCAUUGCAAGAGAAUAUUUUUGUGUGAUUUCUCAGUGCUCUAAUAUCGCUUUUGCACGUAAGGAUAAAAACUAUUUAAACUGCUCUCACUCAUAUUGAAGUGAUCGGAAAUGUUCGCAUUUUUUCAUAAUAAUUAGACUGGAUCUCCACAAAUUGUCUGUGCCAUCACAAACUAGUUUCAUCUGACUAAAUGUCACUGCACAAUGUACAUGUCCACAUCUGAGCUGUGUACACUGACAUACACUGCCUCCAUGGUGGCAGAGCUACACAGAGAGCCAUCUGCUAAAAGAGAUAAUCAAGACAGAGCAAGUGCACCACAUUCUCUUUGCCGCCUCUUUCCCCCUUGUUUUUGAACCCGGAUCUGACUAACAGCUGCAUAUGUGGACACUUAUGUCUAAAGCUAGAGGAGACAAGGCCCAGCCAAGCACUUCUCAAGCUUACUCUCAGGCUGUGUGGCUUUUCCCAUAUACUUGUGUCCUCACAAAGCACAUAGUAUACAAUAUGACCUCUCUUCUUCUUCUGCACCAUUAUGAGGGCCAGUUCCUUACAGCUAUGUUGGUCAAAAGAAAAGAUGAACUAAGAUUAUAGGUUGCCUGGAUAGGUUGUAGGUGACACAACCUGAACAUUCAAGGUCAGGUUGGAUGGGGCUCUGAGCAACUUGGUCAAGUUGAAGAUGCAGCCCAUAAAGCCAACCAUAUCGUGGACUGCAUCAAAAGGACCAUGGCCGGCAGGUCAAGUGAGGUGAUUCUCCUUUGCUCUUGUGAGACCCCACCUGCAGUACUGCAUUCAGUUCUGGGGCUCCCAACACAAGUAGGAUGUGGAUCUGUUGAAUCAAGUCCAGAGGGGGGCCAUGAAGAUGAUCAGAGGGUUGGAGCACCUCUCCUAUGGAGACAGACUGAGAGAGUUGGUCUUGUUCAGCCUGGAGAAGGCUCUGGGGAGACCUUAGAUCAGCUUCCUUUAGACCUGUAAAGAUGUCCUACAAGAAAGCUGCAGAGAGACUUUUUAUAAGAGCAAGUAGUGAUAGGACAAGGGGGAAUGGUUAAAAUGAAAGAGGGGAGACCUAGAUUAUAUAAAAGGAAGAAAUUC